rnacentral:rRNA from 1 species
AUUGAACGCUGGCGGCAUGCCUUACACAUGCAAGUCGAACGGUAACAGGGAGCUUGCUCCGCUGACGAGUGGCGAACGGGUGAGUAAUGUAUCGGAACGUACCUUUUAGUGGGGGAUAACGUAGCGAAAGUUACGCUAAUACCGCAUGUUCUAUGAGGAGGAAAGCAGGGGACCUUCGGGCCUUGCGCUAAUAGAGCGGCUGAUAUCAGAUUAGCUAGUUGGUGAGGUAAAGGCUCACCAAGGCGACGAUCUGUAGCGGGUCUGAGAGGAUGAUCCGCCACACUGGAACUGAGACACGGUCCAGACUCCUACGGGAGGCAGCAGUGGGGAAUUUUGGACAAUGGGGGCAACCCUGAUCCAGCCAUGCCGCGUGAGUGAAGAAGGCCUUCGGGUUGUAAAGCUCUUUCGGCCGGGAAAAAAUCGCAUGGGUUAAUACCCUGUGUGGAUGAUGGUACCGGAAUAAGAAGCACCGGCUAACUACGUGCCAGCCGCCGCCGUAAGAC